rnacentral:rRNA from 1 species
UGGGGAAUAUUGCACAAUGGGGGGAACCCUGAUGCAGCCAUGCCGCGUGUGUGAAGAAGGCCUUAGGGUUGUAAAGCACUUUCAGUUGUGAGGAAAGGUUGGUAGUUAAUACCUGCCAGCUGUGACGUUAACAACAGAAGAAGCACCGGCUAACUCCGUGCCAGCAGCCGCGGUAAUACGGAGGGUGCGAGCGUUAAUCGGAAUUACUGGGCGUAAAGCGCACGCAGGCGGUUUGUCAAGCUAGAGGUGAAAGCCCCGCGCUCAACGUGGGAAUUGCCUUUAGAACUGGCAGACUAGAGUCUUGGAGAGGGGAGUGGAAUUCCAGGUGUAGCGGUGAAAUGCGUAGAGAUCUGGAGGAACAUCAGUGGCGAAGGCGACUCCCUGGCCAAAGACUGACGCUCAUGUGCGAAAGUGUGGGUAGCGAACAGGAUUAGAUACCCCCGUAGUCC